CCAGUUUUUUUUUCUUUUAGAUAAAAAUGUAUUCAUUCAUUCAUAUAUGCUUGGGCACCUGUCACAGUGUUUGACAGUUUUGGUAACCAUUCGUCCAAAGGUUGUUAAUUUUGAAAUGCUCAAGCCUGGAAUCUGCAAGUCUGAGACUUCGGAAGCCACUGAAUGAGCUGUUCAUGUUUUUGAUAAUAAAAAGUUUGUUUUUUGUUCACACAUUCAUAUCUACAUAGAUCAUGGAACUGCUUAUCCAGAGUUAUUUCAUUGUGUGCCAUUGUCAACAUGUUUGUGUGGCCACGAUGACCAGGAUCUGCAUCAUCUGUUGCUUGACUGCCCCAAGUACAUCAUACAUAGACAGAAACUUCGACGGAAACUCCACAUUCCAGUGAACAUUCUUUUUGGUGAAAAUGCCAGGCUCAUUACCAUCUGAAUAAAUUACGAAGCA